GGGGGCCCGCAAGCGGUGGAGCAUGUGGUUUAAUUCGAAGCAACGCGAAGAGCCUUACCAGGUCUUGACAUCCCGCUGACCGCCUUGGAGACAAGGCUUUCCCUUCGGGGACAGCGGUGACAGGUGGUGCAUGGUUGUCGUCAGCUCGUGUCGUGAGAUGUUGGGUUAAGUCCCGCAACGAGCGCAACCCUUGAUCUUAGUUGCCAGCAUUCAGUUGGGCACUCUAAGGUGACUGCCGGUGACAAACCGGAGGAAGGUGGGGAUGACGUCAAAUCAUCAUGCCCCUUAUGACCUGGGCUACACACGUGCUACAAUGGACGGUACAAAGGGUUGCCAACCCGCGAGGGGGAGCCAAUCCCAGAAAACCGUUCUCAGUUCGGAUUGCAGGCUGCAACUCGCCUGCAUGAAGCCGGAAUCGCUAGUAAUCGUGGAUCAGCAUGCCACGGUGAAUACGUUCCCGGGCCUUGUACACACC
rnacentral:rRNA from 1 species